CCUACGGGUGACAGCAGUAGGGAAUUUUCGUCAAUGGGGGGAACCCUGACCCAGCAACGCCGCGUGAACGAAGAAGUUAUUCGUACUGUAAAGUUCUUUUAACAGGGAAGAAAGAGAAAUUUGACGGUACAUGAAGAAUAAGCUCCGGCUAACUACGUGCCAGCAGCCGCGGUAAUACGUAGGGAGCGAGCGUUAUCCGGAAUUAUUGGGCGUAAGGUGUGCGUAGAUGGCAGAGUAAGUCUUUUGUAAAAAUGCUGGGCUAAACCCAGAAGGGCAAAAGAUACUGCAAAGCUAGAGUACGACAGAGGCAAGUGGAAUUAGUAGUGUAGCGGUGAAAUGCGUAGAUAU
rnacentral:rRNA from 1 species